GAACCUACACUACAGAAGGAGAGAACUGAACUCCCCAGAUGGUCCUGAUUGCCACAACCUAGGCCAUGGACAUUCACACACUUACAGAGACACAUCAAAUAAAAGGAGUUAAAAAAAAUCGGAGGAAAAAAAUUUUUUUUUCUUGGCAAUACUGGUGACUGAAUUUAAGGCCCCAGGAAUAGUAGGGAAACUCACUACUCAUCCAGUUGGUAACGGCUUGAAGGUUUCCCUCAGAGUCACUUAGGACCUCGGCAUGCUCCCUUGCUUUCAGGAUGCUCAACAGAGAAAUCCUAAUCGGAGGAACCUAAAAGCACGCUCCCUGCUUUCAGCUGCGAAAUUCGGCUGCCCUGCACACUGGACUCCACGGGAGCAUUUCCUCACUUCUUUUCUGGGCGGCCGGAAACGAGCGAGCGAGCAGUCUCCACUUACACGAGGGUCACAUUAUCUUUAGCACUUAUUUUUUUUUGCCUUCUUCCAUAUUUAUAUUAUAUUUAAGGCACUAUAGAACAUGGUCUUUUAUUAAGCUCAUCUGUUAGAGAAGGUUGAAAAUACCUCCAAAGGAUCUUGGAAGUUUCAGGCAGAUUCAGAAAAAUAGUUCUCAAGUCUUUCUUGAGAGUGGUACCUGGUAAAGAUGUGUAGAGACGUGAAGGGCAAAAUCACACGGAAUCUCGUCCUGGAUUGCUUUACCCUGCUGUGGUUUCCCCCCGUUUUGGUAAUUAUCAAUAUUUUCGUAGUCCAGAUACCCCCCCCCCCACCGUGGAAUCAGAUAUUUCAGACAAAAUGGAAAGAACUCGCAGUGUGACUUUGGGAAAUGAACAACCUUUCGAAAAGGUAAUGAAGGGGAUGCAAAGUGUCUCUAACCCGAAAUGUAGCAGGUGCCUGGCGGACUUAAUGGGGUUCUAACGAUCAACCUGCGAAGGCAAAACUCGGGCGCUCCGAUCGUGUCUUUGCCGGUUCGCGGAGCAGCGCCUGAGCUCCCACCGCCUACUACGCAGAGACCCAGCCCAGGCACCUUCUCCCGUAAAUGUCCACCGACUGAAAAUACGUUGUAAGUCCACCCUCCCGACCCCCCUCCUUCAAGACCUCCCCUUUAAAGGGAGCCACCGAGUGACGCCGGGGGAGUUUGCGGAAGCGCCUACCGCGUUGGGCCCUUGGGCGGAUCCCGUGAUUGGAGUCGGCCCCGCCCCCGGCCCCGCUUCCUCCAUUGUGUGAGCUCCUAGACCGAGGCCCCGCCCCCGCCCCGCCUCCGGAGGCCCGGUCCCGCCCCUCUUUGCCUCACCCGCCCCCCCCAUCUUGGCUCAUUUCCGGCCGCCGCCGCUACCGCUAUCCUGUAAGGAGGAUUCGGCAGAGGCAAGAAACAACAGCCGCCAUCUUGUUUGUGUGCUAGGCUGGGGGGGAAGAGAGAGCGAGAGGGACCGAGCGUACAAGCGGGACGCCCGGCUGAGUGCGAACUGCGGGAGCAGGGAGCGCGGAGGGGACCGGGCCGGAGAGCAGCGGCCUCGGUCGAGACAUUGGCAGGGGGCCCGGGGCGCACAGGCUGAGGCGACCCCCAGCCCCCUCCUGCCCGCACACACCCCCACCGCGGCCCGGGCCGGCGUCGACGCCUAAGGGGGAGACCAUUACAUAAGCCCGAGCCCCGCGGCGCCUUUGCCCGCCGUCCAGGGCGGCCCCGAGCCGAGCCCCGGGGGGGGGGGGCGGGAGCUCCCGGCACCUGGCUGCCCGGGUGAGGGCCGGAGAGGCGGCCCCUACGUGUUUCUCCGCCGCGGGCUUGCGGGCGGAGGCGGAGAGCGCGGCGCGCGGGGAGGCCGCGUCGGUGGGCUCGGCGUCAGCGCGGGCUUGCGGGCGGGCGGCCCUACUCGGCCCGGCCCCCCUGGCCCUCCGGGCCGGCGAGCUUCACGCUCGGCGUUGUCGCCGCGCCUCCGCCGUUCGCUGCGCUAUGUGAGGCGGCGGCGGCGCCAGUCUGGCUCUCGGCUCGGCUGAGCUCAGUGCGGCCAUUAGGGGCCGGUGCGGCAGCGGCGGCGCGGAGCGCAGCGGCAGCAGGAGGAGGAGGAGAAGGAGGAGGGGGGCGCAGGCCCGGGAGGGGGCACCGGGAGGAGGUGAGUGUCUCUGGUCGCCUCCUCCUCUCCCCCUUUUUCGCCCCCGCCUCCUUGUGGCGAUGAGAAGGAGGAGGACAGCGCCGAGGAGGAAGAGGCUGAUGGCGGCGGCGGAGCUCCGAGAGACCUCGGCUGGGUACGGGCCCGCCGUGGCGGGCUGGGGACUGCGUUUGUAGAGCUGUGAGUUCCCGAGAAUUCGCUGCAGCGGACGUGCCCGUCGGAUCAGUGUUGCUGUGCCCUCCUCAGGCCCGGCCCCUCGCACUUGCCCCUACCAUUUCUGUUGAGUCCGCAUCCCUCUCCGGCCGCCGCAACCGGGCGAAGAGAAAAAGGAACUUCCCCCACCCCCCUUGGGUGGCGGCGGAGCUCCCGAGCCCACCCUUAGGAGCGGGGCGGGGACCCCGGGUCGAAGAAGAGAUUUCCUCAGGAUUCUCGUUUUUCCUCGGCUCUAUCUCCGAAAAGAAUUAAAAAUGGCCGAGAAUGUGGUGGAACCUGGGCCGCCUUCAGCCAAGCGGCCUAAACUCUCGUCUCCGGCCCUCUCGGCGUCGGCCAGCGACGGUACAGAGCACUUAAGGAGGCAGUGUGCAUUCCUUUAAUCCCAGCUGUGAGCUCGAGACCAGCCUAGUCUACAGAGCAAGUUCCAGGACAGCCUGGACUGUUAUACAGAGAAUCCCGUUCUUGGAAAAAACAAAAACAACAACAACAAAAAAACGCAAAGGUGAGCACUUAAGUUAAGAACACACUCUGUAAAGAUGGGUGAUAGUUAUAGGACCUAUCACAAUUAAGUAGGGUAAAGAUCCCUCCUGUAGCCCUGCUGUGUGAGUAACUGGAUUGACUUUGUGUUAUGCCCCAACCCAGUCGCUUCUUCCCCAAUUUCAAAGGCACCAAGGAGAUAGUAUAUAAAGUAUACUUAUGUUGACCAUUAGGUUAAUGUAGAGAACUGGUAAGGAUGAUUAUUUUGCUACAGUUUUCCUGCCUCUGUCUCCCCAGUGUUGGGAUUACAGAAGCAAGUCACAAUUUUUUUUAAAUGUCUGUUUUAUUUUUCUAGGGUGGCAUUGUGUAAGUUACUUACCAUCCUAUUUAGAAAACUUGUAUGGAAUAAAAUUUUUUUUCCUAGCUCAGACCUUGGGAUUAUAUUUUAAUUUUUUUUUUUUUGUUAGGAAAUGUGUUUAUUAGAGUUGUUUUGGAAUCAGAUAGGUUAAACAGCUCCUUGGUUUAAUGAGGUAUUAUUGCUGAUUGUGGUGCAGUAUAGUAGAAUACUGUGUCCUGUACCUUAAAUUUCUCAAGCCCAUGGUAAAUUUACUGAUAAGACCUCAAGAAGGUUGUUUGGUUGGCAGUAAGAUAGUAAAUAACAUUUUUUUUUAAGUUGUAAGUCCUGUGUGUUAUAAUAUGGAUACCUUUUCCCAGUAGGAGCUUGUGUUUUGUUGCUUAAGCAGAGACUGUAUUAGCAUGCCUAGUGAAUUGAUACUAGGGAGGGUGAAGAGGAUUUCUGCCUUUGAUGCUUUUGGACAUUUUAUACCUUCUUUAGUCUAUUCAUUGAAGAAAGUAAUUUGAAACACUUGAAAAUCAAUGCAGCAUGGCAGUUGGGACACACUUUUUUAAUCUCAGCACUCAGACAAGAGCAUCUCAGUCUAGGUCAAGCUGGUCUACAGAGUGACUUCCAGGGCUACAUAGUGAAACUCUGUCUCGAAUCCCCCCCCCCCCAAAAAAAAAGAAAUAAAAAAAAAUCAA